AACUACGUGCCAGCAGCCGCGGUAAUACGUAGGUGGCAAGCGUUGUCCGGAAUUACUGGGUGUAAAGGGAGUGUAGGCGGGAUAUCAAGUCAGAAGUGAAAAUUACGGGCUCAACUCGUAACCUGCUUUUGAAACUGACAUUCUUGAGUGAAGUAGAGGCAAGCGGAAUUCCUAGUGUAGCGGUGAAAUGCGUAGAUAUUAGGAGGAACACCAGUGGCGAAGGCGGCUUGCUGGGCUUUUACUGACGCUGAGGCUCGAAAGCGUGGGGAGCAAACAGGAUUAGAUACCCUGGUAGUCCACGCCGUAAACGAUGAUUACUAGGUGUGGGGGGAUUGACCCCUUCCGUGCCGGAGUAAACACAAUAAGUAAUCCACCUGGGGAGUACGACCGCAAGGUUGAAACUCAAAGGAAUUGACGGGGGCCCGCACAAGCAGUGGAGUAUGUGGUUUAAUUCGACGCAACGCGAAGAACCUUACCAGGUCUUGACAUCAAGUGACCGCCUAAGAGAUUAGGCUUUCCCUUCGGGGACACAAAGACAGGUGGUGCAUGGUUGUCGUCAGCUCGUGUCGUGAGAUGUUGGGUUAAGUCCCGCAACGAGCGCAACCCUUAUCAUUAGUUGCUACGCAAGAGCACUCUAAUGAGACUGCCGUUGACAAAACGGAGGAAGGUGGGGAUGACGUCAAAUCAUCAUGCCCUUUAUGACCUGGGCUACACACGUACUACAAUGGCGUUUAACAAAGAGAAGCAAAGCCGCGAGGCAGAGCAAAUCUCCAAAAAACGUCUCAGUUCGGAUUGUAGGCUGCAACUCGCCUACAUGAAGUCGGAAUUGCUAGUAAUCGUAGGUCAGCAUACUACGGUGAAUACGUUCCCGGGCCUUGUACACACCGCCCGUCAA
rnacentral:rRNA from 1 species